rnacentral:rRNA from 1 species
UUAUUAAUAAUUAUUUUGAGUAAAUAUUUAUUUUUAAGCAAGAAAGUUAUUUUUAUUAAUUUUUAUGAAAAAAGUUUGGGUUAUUAUAGAGUAUUAGUAUUGUGAAAGAAUUUAAUGUUAAAUGAAGAAGGAGAAGGUUUUUGUACCUUGUGUCUCAGGGUUUAUUAAAUAAUUUUAAAAGAUUUUAAACUCCCGAAUUAAUAAGAGUUAGGUUUAUAUAAAUUUUAUUGUAGAAUAAAUAUUUUAAAUAUAAACUUGGAAGUGAAACGUUAUUCGGUUAUUAAUAUAUCUGGUUUCAAAAGAAAAGAAUUUAAUUUUUUUAGUAUGGAUUAUUAGGUUUAUUUUUAAAUUUAAUAUUAAUAGUAAUAAAUAUAUUUGGGGAUGAGCUCUAAUGUAGAAUACUAAAAUUUUAUAAUUAAUAAUUAUUUUUAGGAUUAGAAUUGUUUAUAAUUAAGAGGAUGUUUUAAUUCAUAUUUAUUAAGAUAUGAUUUUUAUAGGAUUUAGAUUUUUUAUUUUGAAAUUAAAAAAAAUUUUUAAUUUUAAGCUAUUAUGAUAAAAUUAGUAUAUUGAAAAUGAAAAUUUAAGGUAAAUUUAAGGAAUUCGGCAAAAGAUUUUUCACCUGUUUAUUAAAAACAUGUCUUUUUGAUUAUUAUUUAAAGUCGUCCCUGCCCACUGAAAGAUUAAAUGGCCGCGGUAUUUUGACCGUGCAAAGGUAGCAUAAUCAUUAGUUUUUUAAUUGAAAGCUGGAAUGAAGGGGUUAAUGAAAAAAUAACUGUCUCAAGUUUAUUUAAGUAGAAUUUUAUUUUUUAGUGAUAAAGCUGAAAUUUGUUUUAAAGACGAUAAGACCCUAUAGAGUUUAAUAAAAGUUUAUAAAAUAUAAAGUAGAAAUAAAUUUGUGUUUUAUAAUUUAUUUAUUUUGUUGGGGUGAUAGAAAAAUUAAAUUAACUUUUUUUGUUGGUAACAUAGAUUAAUGAAGGUUUGAUCCGUUUAUUAACGAUUAUAAGAUUAAAUUACCUUAGGGAUAACAGCGUAAUUUUUUUUUAGAGUUCAAAUCGAAAAAAAAGUUUGCGACCUCGAUGUUGGAUUAAAAUUAAUUCUUGGAGUAGAAGUUAAGAGUUUAGGUCUGUUCGACCUUUAAAAUUUUACAUGAUCUGAGUUUAGACCGGUGUAAGCCAGGUUGGUUUCUAUCUUGAAUGUAAAAUAAUAUUUUAGUACGAAAGGAUUAAAUAUUAGAUUUAAAAUUUAAUAAGAG